GUUAUAUGGUCAAGUGAAGAAGCGCAUACGGUGGAUGCCUUGGCAGUCAGAGGCGAUGAAAGACGUGGUAGCCUGCGAAAAGCUUCGGGGAGUCGGCAAACAGACUUUGAUCCGGAGAUGUCUGAAUGGGGGAACCCAGCCAUCAUAAGAUGGUUAUCUUACGCU
rnacentral:rRNA from 1 species